ACUAAAUAGAUACCCAGGUAGUCCACGCCGUAAACGAUGAGCACUAGGUGUGGGUGGUGUGAAAAAACUAUCUGUGCCGAAAGUCAACGCGCUAAGUGCUCCGCCUGGGGAGUACGGCCGCAAGGCUAAAACUCAAAGGAAUUGACGGGGGCCGGCACAAGCAGCGGAGCGUGUGGUUUAAUUACGAUGUGACGCGAAGAACCUUACCUGGGUUUGUACAUGCACGUAGUAGUGAAGCGAAAGCGGAACGACCCUUCGGGGUAGCGUGCACAGGUGCUGCAUGGCUGUCGUCAGCUCGUGUCGUGAGAUGUUGGGUUAAGUCCCGCAACGAGCGCAACCCUUGUCGCUAGUUACAAGUGUCUAGCGAGACUGCCGAUAUCAAGUUGGAGGAAGGUGGGGAUGACGUCAAGUCAGCAUGGCC
rnacentral:rRNA from 1 species